UUAUAGGCUUGAAAGUCUUGUAUAUGUAGUUUAUUUUUUUUCUCAGCUUGUGUCUGUAUUGCUUGGCUGUGUUUUUCUUUAAGAAUAGAUCUCUGACCAAAUACAUAAACGUGCUGCCUAUACUCUACAUAUCUGAUUGUAAUGAGCAUGUAGCUAUCAGUAAUCAAAGACAUGAAUAUGUAGUGUACGCUUGAGUUAAUAAAAAAUUCUUAUUUAUGUAUUUACAGCUUUUAUAUGAAUAUAUAAAAUCACAAUUAUAUUGGGGUUUUCUUAUUAUUCAUUCUUUGUGGAAGCCUUUUGUACUCAUAACCUCUUAAAUUUAAUUUGCAACAGGCAGCGUGGCAAUUUAAAUCUUCCAUGUCAUUGUCUAGAGCCUUUACAGUGCAUAGCUGCAGAACAUCAAGAAGUUUACUUGGAACUUUGUGAGGUUUCUGCUAACAGAAGCUGUGUUUCUAUUACCUGCCCCUCUAUUGGCUUGAAGGGCUGGGGCUGUUGGCAGGCAACCAUGGGGAAUUGAUGGACGUCAUCACACAGACCAUUAGCCAAGUCCAUGGCUCUCAGAAAUAAAAGCAUGCAGAGCCCAGGCACUUAAUUGUUUUGCAGGUGAUACUACUCAUACCACAUAGUGGAAGGGCCUGGAGGCUGUGGCCUGGCAACUGCUGUGCACACAGUUUACCCAGUGCAUUUCCUUCCAGCAGGCAGAGGCACAGUGUUCUUUUGAUCCUGUGGUGGAUCUGGUGUGACAGACUGGAUGACACUGUUUCUAGUACCAUCACUGCUCCAGAAGAGUCUUAUUGUUCAAGCUAGUUGCAGGACAGGAGGUUGCAGCAGCUCUGUGAAGAGGAUACUAAAUCUAAAAGGAAAAAUCUAAAAAAGAAAUAAAUCUCUUUUUCUUUAAAUCUCUUUCUCUUUAUGCUGCUCUUUCCUUAAGCAGCAAGGUAAAAAUUAUCCCCUCCUCUCUCCCGUGAUUGCAGUUCCCCUUGUGCCCUUUUCAAGGAGUCAGGUAACUGCCUCUGCUCUUCAGAGUUCGAGUCGGUCUCAUUCAUCUUCACUGUGUGGCAAAAUCCCUGUUGCCCAUCGUGAAGCCCUGCUAGUGUGUAGCCUAUCCCAAGGCUCCAUUUUCCUUAACCUUCCUGUCCUUUCCUUGACUCUUAAUUACUCACCCUAUGUACUUUCCCUUGUAUUUUUUCAGAAGCUGCAGGUUGUUCAAGUUGCUUGAAAAAGAAAUCCUCAUCUCCUGUCACUGCAGAGAGUGGCCAGGAUCUGCAGUAAAGUACAGGAAAACCUGGUUUUGAGUAAAGUUUAACUUCAUUGUCGUGUCAUAUAAGGUUGCAGCUCACAAAGAGGCUUCCAUACAUCUGCGCUUUUAUUACAGUAUUGAGUUACUGUAUUCAGCCUGAGAAAAAUAAGGGGAAAAAAAUGGGGACUUUUGUUUUCACACUGUUUUCCCCUACAAUAAAUUCUGGAAUCUGCUAAGAUGGAAGAGUGCUACCAGAGGUACAAACACACAAGGAAGGACAGCUAGCAGCACACAGAUGGCCAGUACCCAGGGUGGAUAAACUUUUUCCUCUUUCAUAGGGAAGCCUUCCUGUGGAGACAAAAAAGCAAGCAAAAGAGAUAAUUGAUAUACGCAACCCCAAUCACUUCAAAGAAAGCGAGGACUAGAAGAGGCAAUGAUCCUGCAUAGCUGUCAAAAAUGUCAAUCCAGUAACUCCCCGAACCCAGUGUAAAACACAGAGCAAUGAGGAAGCAAAUUAAACAUAUUAUACCUAAAGAAAAAAGGUAUCUUUGUUACUGGAGUGUUGAACUGAACUUGAUACAAACUGAGUGCUUCAUGCAGGUACAGUCUCUAAAAUGUUUGUUGGUUUGGUGGGGGUGGGGUUCAGCCUUCAAGACCAUUUCCACCACUUGUGUUUAAUGUACCAGUGAAUCUGGUGGAACAGGAAAAGGUGUUGUGUUUUUAACUACUACUGAUGCUACUCUGAGAUUGAGAUUAAUGGGUUGUUUUAUAAUCUGUCUUGCUUCUUACAAAUGCUAACCCUGAUCAUUCUUGCCUCAGUGCCGUAAUACCUUCUGUUUUUAUAUUAGACUUCUCCGUACAGGUGCCUUUCCUUUUUAGUGAAAAUAAAUUCUAUAAAUGCAUGUUCAAGUAACACAUUAUCUGUUUAGGCAUUGAAACCAUGCUAUAACACUGGAACUGCAAGUUUCUCACCUGUCCAAGCAAUCCCAGUAGCCUGUGGUUGCUUUAAACCCCAAAACAGAAAAAACUGGGAUGGAAGCGUAGAGGGAUGUCACGCUGUUCACAAUUGCUACUGUCACAGCAUCCUUUUCACAGUCAUUUCUAGAAACAGCAUUCAAACAAGUGAAGUAACUAAAAAAAGGCAGUAUUUUAUCUGUGAUUAUUUCAGGUAUUUCUGGAAACAUUUUAUUUUUUUAGAUUUUUUCCCUUUCCUGUUAGAAAAUCUAUUUGGCCUUUUAGAAAGACAGCAGCUGUUAAGAGCCUUUAAAAAUCUAAGAUUCUUAAUAAAUAUCUGAAAGAAAGUGUUUUGAAAAUUUCAGAAAAUUCCACAAAAUGCAGCAAGAAUUAGCCAAUUUAUAAAGAUUGUAGUUCUACUUACUUUGGUGGGUUGUAGCUUGAGAAUGCAAUAAGUCCUCCAAAAGCCAAAGAGAGAGAGAAGAAAAUCUGGGUAGCUGCAUCAAGCCAUACACGGGGAUUUUUCAAAAUGUUCAGCUGAAAUAAUGGGAAUAAAUGCAUGUAUUACACUUAAAUUUUCUUUUUCUCUCCCAGUUCUCAUAGCUCAUCUCAUACUUUACUUUUGAAACUGAGUGUUGUGUUGCCAUCUAAAGACACUGGAAAUGGGAAUUAGCACAAAACAUGUCAGUAAAGCAGGUGUUUCUUAGGACAUGAUUUGGUCUAUUUAGUGUAUGUAGUUAUUACAGAAUCUGUUUCAUUGUAUGCUUCUUCUUCCAAUGAAAAAAAAAGUGUUUCUAAAUGAUAGGCAUUAGGCAUACAAUAAAUCCACAUACUGGGUAACUUACAGUUUAAGAAUAUUAUCUUCCUAAAACUGUAUAAAAAACCACUAAAGUUACAUUGUUUUAAGACAGAAAGUGAUUCCAUAGCUUUCCAAAUUCACUUUAAAAGGAUAUAAAAAAAACCCAGACUAAAAGUCCAGGCAGUCAAGAAGAGUAUAUUCAUUAAAAAGAACAUCUUAGAUUCAAAGUACUGUGAAAACAGCAAUAAAAGAUAAAAGGGCAACAUAGGCAAAACAAGGGGAAAAGGAGAAAACGACAGCAAAAUUUUAAUUUAGAUGUAAGGGCGACAUGAUAGAUGAAGGUAAAUUAAAAAGUCAAUGAUUGUUGUAUUACAGAGAAUAAUAUACGGUCCUAAAUAGCUGUGCUAAGAAGGGAUUCUAUCAUUAAAAGCAGGCUGAAAGAAAAAGAUAAAGCAUAAGUAAUGCGCAAAAUGUAAAUAUACUUAAUAAAUAUUAGUUUCUUGCAGAAACUAAGAAAUGGUGUGUUAUAUUUAUACCCUACCAAGGUGAAUUAUUUUCCAAUCUGUUAUCAAGUAGAGUGACUAGAAACCAGUACUAGUUAAGAAUGAGUGUUUUCAAAAGCAGCUGGCCCAGAAGUAAUACUGGGGCCGUAGAGUAUUUCACUUUGGUUUACAUCAAUCUGAAUCAAACCUGCAUCCUAGUAAUGUAGGGCAAAUUGUGUUUCCUGUCAUGUCUAUAUGCCUGUGCUAUUGAUCCUAGUACAUGAUUAGGAACAUCUGUAGGAAUGAGGAGUAAGUAUGCCAGAAGCCCCUUAAUAGCAUUUUGGGUUUUUCUGAAGCUGGCCUGAGCUUGAAGAGCAAGAAUAAUGGAUUCAUCUCAGUGUGGACGGAUGCGGUGAAUGCCAUUACUGCAGAUGCUUUCUCCACAAGUAUGUCAGUGCUUUCACCACAGCAGAACUGGUGUAACAUUUUGUACAACAUAGCAUAGCAAGCAGAUUUGCAAAAACAAGAGGGAGGUGUAACAGUUACCAGAGAAUGGAUGUGUCAGCUAUUACAAAAAACCUACAAUUUCUGCCACACUGCAAAGUUGGAAAAAAGUUGGAAGAGAUUGCCCCAGUGAGUGGAGAAUGUCAAGAAGGAAGAGAAAGGGCAAUACCCAGUGCUCCUGUGGUGGGAAGCACUGCUGUGGCUGCAGAGGCAGAGGACGCUCCAAGACCAUCUGUCAGUGGGUGCUGCUUUUCCUCUUCUACACUUACGGCUUUAUGGAGGUUUUUAGCAUGAAGGCAGAGCUGUGAGGAGCCUGUGGUUGAUAGCAGCCACUUGGUGGAACAAAUUUGCUCUGCAUUUGGGAAGGCUGCUAAGGACAAAGGUCCUUCUGAAAUGGCCAGCAUAUGGAGGGAUCUGGGACUCCUGUCCCUUUGAGAAGAUGAGAAAAAAAUGGGAGAGGGGUGCACUCCAGCAGCUCUGUCUUUUAGGGACAU